rnacentral:lncRNA from 1 species
GUGCCUGUCAGAAUAUGGAUGAGCUACGGAAGUUCUUUAUGAAUGUUUUAAACUUCGAUCCCAUGAGCUGGCGUUUGUUAACCUGAUCCCUAGGCAAUGGACCCAGUACGACUACCCCCCAGACAGCAAGAGGUAUAGGAGAUAAAAUCGAAAUAUAGCCUUUUGGUGGCUAAUGUAGGAUCGAACCAUUUGGCUGACAAAUAUCCACAUGAACCCUCCAAACAACAUUUGCAGCUUCGGACGGCGCCCGAAAUUCCUCAAUAGUGGGAGAUAGGUCCAAAGUAGAAUACCCGAAGUCUUUCUGUGCUGAAUCCCCAGUUCUUUCAAGAAGCUGUCGAAGUGCUUUGUAGGUCAAUAACUUCAGGCCAAUAAUUGUCACGAAUAUCUUUGUGAACUUCCCGAAGAACACACCCUGCUUCGGAUGGAACCAAAUGUUUAAGUAAUGAUGACGAAAAAGGUCCUUCGAUAAAGAUUCUCAUCAAUGAGAACAAAAUGGACACUCUUGUACUUGGUCUUCUUUGCCAGCAUCUGAUCCGAAGGAAAGA